rnacentral:rRNA from 1 species
GGCGAUCAGAUACCGCCCUAGUUCUGACCGUAAACGAUGCCAACUAGCGAUCCGCCAGUCGACUCAUCGCUCUGGUGGGGAGCUUCCCGGAAACGAAAGUCUUCCGGUUCCGGGGGAAGUAUGGUUGCAAAGCUGAAACUUAAAGGAAUUGACGGAAGGGCACCACCAGGAGUGGAGCCUGCGGCUUAAUUUGACUCAACACGGGGAAACUCACCCGGCCCGGACACCGUAAGGAUUGACAGAUUGAUAGCUUUUUCAUGAUUCGGUGGAUGGUGGUGCAUGGCCGUUCUUAGUUCGUGGAGCGAUUUGUCUGGUUUAUUCCGAUAACGAGCGAGACUCUGGCCUACUAAAUAGUUGACGCAUUGCCACUGUGCGCACAACUUCUUAGAGGGAUUUUCGGUGUUUUCAACCGCACGAAAUUGAGCAAUAACAGGUCUGUGAUGCCCUUAGAUGUCCGGGGCUGCACGCGCGCUACACUGGCAAACGCAACGUGCCUGUCCUGCCCUGAAAGGAGCGGGUAAACCCCUGAAAUUUUGCCGUGAUUGGGAUCGGACAUUGCAACUAUUGUCCGUGAACGAGGAAUUCCUUGUAGGGGCGAGUCAUCAACUCGUCCCGAAUACGUCCCUGCCCUUUGUA